GAAUUGGGUACUAAGUGUAAUCUGACAUUACAGACACAAGCAAUCCUGGUUGUUUCAACAGAGCUAUUUGUGAGUUCAGAAUUUAACAAACUCUCAAGAAGUUUGCUGAGCUGGCAACUAAGAAUCAAUAACCCGCUGCCUCCAAAAGUGGAUGUUCUUAAUGAAACAGAAUCAGAAAAUAGAAAAAAGCAUCACCCAGUGGAGGGUAGGUAAAAAGGAAAAAGCAAAGGGAGGGAGAAAAGAGUAGAAUCAUCCUUCCCUUGCUACUCAUUCCCUUUUACUCAAAGUAUUACAAGAUUUUUACAGAAAUAUUUCAAACAAAGCUCCUAAUUUUUGUACUGUAUUCCCGUGCCCUUCAAACUGCUACCAAAGUGAAUGUCUUGAUUGCUUAUAUUGUGAUCAUUUCAUUACAGAGUACAUUUUUGAUGAAGAUUUACUUUAGCUACCAGCGACUGUUUUACAAGGCUCUGAUCUGUCAGCAUGUGCAUUGUGCUCAGGCUGAGCCAAGACCACACCUCAAGGACAUUUUUAGGCACAAGGCUGAAGGUAAUACAUCCACAAUGGCAGCCUCUGUCUAACUGUUUGCUCGGUAUGGAUUCAGUUUGUGUGACGUCUGAUAAACAUCUAAGCCUUUGUCAAAAUGAAUAGAUCUAUUAACAGGGCUAAAAUGACGAUGAUUCUCAACCUUUGCAGAACUCAAGGACAAAGGAGCUUUUCCAGUUAGAAGGAGCACUACGUCUGCUACCAGCAGCCAGUGAUGUCACAAGCAUGGAUAGACAUGGAGGAUCUUGAAGAAAUACAACAUCAAACAAGUUUCAGUGAAAUAAGCAACUACCACUGCCCCACUUCCCCCAGUGUGUGCAAAAAUGGCUUCACUGAGUCUGAUGCAGAACAGUUUUUAAGUUUUGUGAAUUUUGGCGGGAGUUCAGCAGACUUCAGCUAUUCUGCAGUGUACUUUGAGCCUGGAGAGCUGAGAAGAGGACAGAUUAGAGUAGUUCACAUAGUCUUUCGAUCAGUUGAUGUCUUCCUUGUUACCAGGUAAGUCUCUUACUGAUUAUUUAAAUCAAUCUUACAGUGCAGUAAUUUCAUUAUAAACAAAGAUUUGGCCGACGCUCUGCACAAUAAGGUCUGUACAUUUAAUGUGAUUAGGCAGUCUGUCAGAGCAAGUACUCCCAUGAGAUGCACAUUUUAUUAUGUUUCCUCUGCUACUUAGCUUUUUUUGGUGGGUCUCCAACAGAACAACAGAGUAGAAGUUUCUUCUCUUUUCCAGGAUGUGAUUCAACAGUGGCUGUAAUGAUUUUAGUAUUCCAGUAUUAUCUUCUGUGGGUCAGUUCUUCCUCUUGUGGAAAGGCACAUGUGCAUCUGUGCUAUCUGAUGGCUUACUAAAGAGCGUAUGCUUUUUUGUGGCACUCCUUCUCCCUCAAGUCCACUGUUCCUUUCACAAAUGUGGUGGCAUAGAUGAAUUCUUCAGAAAAGAAUGUUAAGAGCAGAUCUAAUAAAAGAAUGGUAAACUGACCUGGUAAAAGGCUA
rnacentral:lncRNA from 1 species